rnacentral:piRNA from 1 species
UAAGGUGGUCAGCCAGUAAUUGAAUUACA